rnacentral:rRNA from 1 species
GAUGAACGCUGGCGGCGUGCCUAAUACAUGCAAGUCGAGCGAAUGGAUUAAGAGCUUGCUCUUAUGAAGUUAGCGGCGGACGGGUGAGUAACACGUGGGUAACCUGCCCAUAAGACUGGGAUAACUCCGGGAAACCGGGGCUAAUACCGGAUAACAUUUUGAACCGCAUGGUUCGAAAUUGAAAGGCGGCUUCGGCUGUCACUUGUGGAUGGACCCGCGUCGCAUUAGCUAGUUGGUGAGGUAACGGCUCACCAAGGCAACGAUGCGUAGCGGACCUGAGAGGGUGCACGGCCACAGUGGGACUGAGGCACGGCCCAGACUCCUACGGGAGGCAGCAGUAGGGAAUCUUCCGCAAUGGACGAAAGUCUGACGGAGCAACGCCGCGUGAGUGAUGAAGGCUUUCGGGUCGUAAAACUCUGUUGUUAGGGAAGAACAAGUGCUAGUUGAAUAAGCUGGCACCUUGACGGUACCUAACCAGAAAGCCACGGCUAACUACGUGCCAGCCGCCGCAGUAA